rnacentral:rRNA from 1 species
AGAGUUUGAUCCUGGCUCAGAGCGAACGCUGGCGGCAGGCCUAACACAUGCAAGUCGAACGAAGUCUUCGGACUUAGUGGCGGACGGGUGAGUAACACGUGGGAACGUACCUUUUGGUUCGGAACAACUCAGGGAAACUUGAGCUAAUACCGAAUGUGCCCUUCGGGGGAAAGAUUUAUCGCCAUUAGAGCGGCCCGCGUUAGAUUAGCUAGUUGGUGGGGUAAAGGCCCACCAAGGCUACGAUCUAUAGCUGGUCUGAGAGGAUGAUCAGCCACACUGGGACUGAGACACGGCCCAGACUCCUACGGGAGGCAGCAGUGGGGAAUCUUGCGCAAUGGGCGAAAGCCUGACGCAGCCAUGCCGCGUGAAUGAUGAAGGUCUUAGGAUUGUAAAAUUCUUUCAGUAGGGACGAUAAUGACGGUACCUACAGAAGAAGCCCCGGCUAACUUCGUGCCAGCAGCCGCGGUAAUACGAAGGGGGCUAGCGUUGCUCGGAAUUACUGGGCGUAAAGGGAGCGUAGGCGGGUUAUCAAGUUGGAGGUGAAAGCCCAGGGCUCAACCUUGGAAUUGCCUUCAAAACUGAUAACCUAGAGGAUAGAAGAGGUAAGUGGAACUCCGAGUGUAGAGGUGAAAUUCGUAGAUAUUCGGAAGAACACCAGUGGCGAAGGCGACUUACUGGUCUAUUACUGACGCUGA